GGAAUACAUCGGAAUCUACCUUUUCGUGGGGGAUAACGUAGGGAAACUUACGCUAAUACCGCAUACGACCUACGGGUGAAAGUGGGGGACCGCAAGGCCUCACGCGAUUAGAUGAGCCGAUGUCCGAUUAGCUAGUUGGCGGGGUAAUGGCCCACCAAGGCGACGAUCGGUAGCUGGUCUGAGAGGAUGAUCAGCCACACUGGAACUGAGACACGGUCCAGACUCCUACGGGAGGCAGCAGUGGGGAAUAUUGGACAAUGGGCGCAAGCCUGAUCCAGCCAUACCGCGUGGGUGAAGAAGGCCUUCGGGUUGUAAAGCCCUUUUGUUGGGAAAGAAAUCCUGUCGAUUAAUACUCGGUGGGGAUGACGGUACCCAAAGAAUAAGCACCGGCUAACUUCGUGCCAGCAGCCGCGGUAAUACGAAGGGUGCAAGCGUUACUCGGAAUUACUGGGCGUAAAGCGUGCGUAGGUGGUGGUUUAAGUCUGCUGUGAAAGCCCUGGGCUCAACCUGGGAAUUGCAGUGGAUACUGGAUCACUAGAGUGUGGUAGAGGGAUGCGGAAUUUCUGGUGUAGCAGUGAAAUGCGUAGAGAUCAGAAGGAACAUCCGUGGCGAAGGCGGCAUCCUGGGCCAACACUGACACUGAGGCACGAAAGCGUGGGGAGCAAACAGGAUUAGAUACCUGGUAGUCCACGCCCUAAACGAUGCGAACUGGAUGUUGGGUGC
rnacentral:rRNA from 1 species